GACGAACCGUGCGAACGUUAUUCGGAAUCACUGGGCUUAAAGCGCGUGUAGGCGGAACGGCACGUCGGUUGUUGAAAGCCCCCGGCUCAACCGGGGAAGCGGCACCGAUACGACCGUUCUGGAGGGACGUAGGGGGACCUGGAACUUCCGGUGGAGCGGUGAAAUGCGUUGAGAUCGGAAGGAACGCCCGUGGCGAAAGCGAGGUCCUGGACGUCUGCUGACGCUGAGACGCGAAAGCCAGGGGAGCGAACGGG
rnacentral:rRNA from 1 species